CGAAGGGGGCUAGCGUUGCUCGGAAUCACUGGGCGUAAAGGGCGCGUAGGCGGCCCUGUUGGUCGGGCGUGAAAUCCCCGGGCUCAACCCGGGGGCUGCGCCCGAAACGGCGGGGCUGGAGGCAAGGAGAGGCUCGCGGAAUUCCCAGUGUAGAGGUGAAAUUCGUAGAUAUUGGGAAGAACACCGGUGGCGAAGGCGGCGAGCUGGCCUUGAACUGACGCUGAGGCGCGACAGCGUGGGGAGCAAAACAGGAUUAGAUACCCUGGUAGUCCACGCCGUAAACGAUGUGCGCUGGGUGUUGGGGGGCCUAGCCCCUCAGUGCCGCAGCCAACGCGGUAAGCGCACCGCCUGGGGAGUACGGCCGCAAGGUUG
rnacentral:rRNA from 1 species